rnacentral:rRNA from 1 species
GUAACGGCGAGUGAAGCGGUAACAGCUCAAAUUUGAAAUCUGGCCUCACGGUCCGAGUUGUAAUUUGUAGAGGAUGCUUCGAGCAUGGUCUGGCCUAAGUUCCUUGGAACAGGACGUCAUAGAGGGUGAGAAUCCCGUAUGCGGCCAGGUGCCUACGCUCAUGUGAAGCUCCUUCGACGAGUCGAGUUGUUUGGGAAUGCAGCUCAAAAUGGGUGGUAAAUUUCAUCUAAAGCUAAAUAUUGGCCAGAGACCGAUAGCGCACAAGUAGAGUGAUCGAAAGAUGAAAAGCACUUUGGAAAGAGAGUUAAACAGUACGUGAAAUUGUUGAAAGGGAAGCGCUUGCAACCAGACUUGCGCGCGGCCGAUCAUCCGGUGUUCUCACCGGUGCACUCGGCCGUGCUCAGGCCAGCAUCGGUUUUGGCGGCUGGAUAAAGGCCCUAGGAAUGUAGCUCCUCUCGGGGAGUGUUAUAGCCUAGGGUGCAAUGCAGCCUGCUGGGACCGAGGACCGCGCUUCGGCU